rnacentral:rRNA from 1 species
GCUAUACGCAGGAAGACCCGCUGAACUGAAGCA